UGGCGGACGGGUGAGUAAUGUCUGGGAAACUGCCCGAUGGAGGGGGAUAACUACUGGAAACGGUAGCUAAUACCGCAUAACGUCGCAAGACCAAAGAGGGGGACCCUCGGGCCUCUUGCCAUCGGAUGUGCCCAGAUGGGAUUAGCUAGUAGGUGGGGUAAAGGCUCACCUAGGCGACGAUCCCUAGCUGGUCUGAGAGGAUGACCAGCCACACUGGAACUGAGACACGGUCCAG
rnacentral:rRNA from 1 species